UACGUAGGGCGCAAGCGUUGUCCGGAAUUAUUGGGCGUAAAGAGCUCGUAGGCGGUUUGUCGCGUCUGCUGUGAAAACCUAAGGCUCAACCUUGGGCUUGCAGUGGGUACGGGCAGACUAGAGUGCGGUAGGGGUGACUGGAAUUCCUGGUGUAGCGGCGGAAUGCGCAGAUAUCAGGAGGAACACCGAUGGCGAAGGCAGGUCACUGGGCCGCAACUGACGCUGAGGAGCGAAAGCGUGGGGAGCGAACAGG
rnacentral:rRNA from 1 species